AUUUUGUAAAUUAAUUAAAAUAACCUAAUAAGACAAAUGAUAGCUUGUUUCAUUCUUUCUUCUUCAACCGUGGGAAAGAACUGAAAAUGGCAGCCAUGGAUGAGCUCCAUUCAGCCAAGCUUCUACGGAUUAUAUAGAUGAUGAAAAUUGAGACUUGGACCUAGAACGGAAAGAAAUCGAUUUAUGGACGAGUACGUCCUUUUCACAUUUGUGGUAUCGAGAGUUUCCAGGUUAGCUCGGGUUGGAGGCCGUCAGAGAUAUUAUCACCCUAUCGAGUUAACGUUAUCGGAGUAAGUAAACUCAAGUGAUUCGAGUCUAUGGCAUGUAUAGGGUUUUAAUGUGAGUAUGUAAUAUUAUGAUUUAGCCAAAGGCAUUGGCUUGUUAUUAAGGUAGUAUUAGUCAUGUAAAUUGGCCUAUGUCGCUAAUGACAUUAUGGGCCCAUAUGAUUAUUCUUAUGCAUGUAUGUUAUUAUCUCUUGUAAUGUGGCUUACAACAUGUAUGCCUAGACAUUGAAUUGAGAUUCAUGGAUGAGCUAGUAACUAAUGCAGGAUUAAGUGAUUGGUAAAUAGUUAAUAAUGCUUCAUGAAUGGUUUGUGAUGUAAUGAUAGUUAUGUCUAGUAUGUGGUAAUGAUAUGGGCAAAUUCUAUAAUAUUUAUUACAUAAGAAAAUAACUUGAGCAUAUCAUGUUUGUAGAUGUUUAAGAGCUCAUUUAUGCCACGUUGUAUGUUAUUGGAUAAGUAUGUAUCUAUGCAUGUGGUGUGAGAGUGACAAAAGGCUUGAUAAUUAGACUAUUUCGCCACACGGCCGAGCACAUGGGCGUGUGAAGCCUUAACGCAAGAGAUUUUCUAAGUUUUCAUGAGUUCUCGAUUGGGUCCCGAACCGCCUGAAUGCAUGUAUUGGGCCUCGUAAGCUCGCAUAAGGGACAAAUUGCAUGUGAAAAGAAAAGUUUUAAUUAUUUGAGAUUUCAUAGUACAUUUAGUAUGGAAGUGUUAGUAAAAGUCGGUAGCACCUCGAACCCCGUCCCGGCGUCGGAUGCGGGCGAGGGGUGUUACAUUUAGUGGUAUCAGAGCAUGGUUUAGUCGGUUCUCGGACUAACCUAGCGUAAGAGAGUCUUGUUAUACAUGCCAUAGUAUUACUCGUGAUAGUGUGAUAUCUCUCGGCCCUAACAAAAUUGUUGAUUAAGACAGGAAUGAGUUCCAACCGAGCAAAUCUUGAUAGAGAUAAGAGUAAAGUUGAGAUUAUUGAAUCAUGCUUAUGAUAUGCUGAAAAUUUGGAAAGAACUGAAAAUGGCAGCCAUGGAUGAGCUCCAUUCAGCCAAGCUUCUACGGAUUAUAUAGAUGAUGAAAAUUGAGACUUGGACCUAGAACGGAAAGAAAUCGAUUUAUGGACGAGUACGUCCUUUUCACAUUUGUGGUAUCGAGAGUUUCCAGGUUAGCUCGGGUUGGAGGCCGUCAGAGAUAUUAUCACCCUAUCGAGUUAACGUUAUCGGAGUAAGUAAACUUAAGUGAUUCGAGUCUAUGGCAUGUAUAGGGUUUUAAUGUGAGUAUGUAAUAUUAUGAUUUGGCCAAAGGCAUUGGCUUAUUAUUAAGGUAGUAUUAGUCAUGUAAAUUGGCCUAUGUCAGCUAAUGACAUUAUGGGCCCAUAUGAUUAUUCUUAUGCAUGUAUGUUAUUAUCUCUUGUGAUGUGGCUUACAACAUGUAUGCCUAGAGAUUGAAUUGAGAUUCAUUGAUGAGCUAGUAACUAAUGCAGGAUUAAGUGAUUGGUAAAUAGUUAAUAA